UUUUUUUUUUAUGGUUGAAAAUAGUUUAAUUUUUAUCGUAGAAUUCUUUUAAUUUUUUUAUCAUAGUUAGCGUAAACUUUUAAAAGAACAAAAGUUAAUUUAUGAAGGAUAUGGUCGUUUUAUAAAAAAGUUAAAUUAUUUUUAAGAUCGUAUAUUAAAACAUUACAGGCAUAAAAUUUUAAAUCAAAGAUAGUGAUCUUGUUUUAUAUAGUAUAAAGAAUUUUCUAUCAAAAUUUCAUGUGAUUUGGAUAUUUCUAUACCGUUAAACUUGCAAACGGCUCACUACGGCCAUUGAAAUUUGUUGAUUUUGAGCCCCUUCGUAAAUUUGUUGAUUUUGAGCCCCUUCGUUCACUAGGCAAAUGAUAUCGUAAAAUCAUAAAAUUUAAUUUCUAGAUACUCCAAAUACUCUAGAUCAAGUUUAACGGGGCCGAUCGACGAUUCGAAAGUCGCAACAUCGAAAACGAGCUGGAAGCACGGAAGGCUCCGUACUUCCGAUAG
rnacentral:lncRNA from 1 species